rnacentral:rRNA from 1 species
UUACGAUCAAAUCACGCUGAAAACACCGGUUCUCGCUCGAUCACCGAAGUUAAGCAUCGUAGAGCCAGGUCAGUACUUAGAUGGGGACCACUUGGGAACACCCUGGUACUGUAAG